rnacentral:rRNA from 1 species
CCUACGGGCGGCAGCAGUGGGGAAUAUUGGACAAUGGGGGCAACCCUGAUCCAGCCAUGCCGCGUGUGUGAAGAAGGCCCUCGGGUUGUAAAGCACUUUCAGUGAGGAAGAACGCCUGGUGGUUAAUACCCAUCAGGAAAGACAUCACUCACAGAAGAAGCACCGGCUAACUCCGUGCCAGCAGCCGCGGUAAUACGGAGGGUGCGAGCGUUAAUCGGAAUUACUGGGCGUAAAGCGCGCGUAGGUGGCUUGAUAAGCCGGUUGUGAAAGCCCCGGGCUCAACCUGGGAACGGCAUCCGGAACUGUCAAGCUAGAGUGCAGGAGAGGAAGGUAGAAUUCCCGGUGUAGCGGUGAAAUGCGUAGAGAUCGGGAGGAAUACCAGUGGCGAAGGCGGCCUUCUGGACUGACACUGUCACUGAGGUGCGAAAGCGUGGGUAGCAAACAGGAUUAGAUACCCGGGUAGUC